GGAGGCGUCUGGAUUCCUGGUGGGUCCCACGGUCUUCAAAACCGAUGAGCCGGUACCUAUCCGGCUGGCGGGUUCGAUUCCCGUUCGCCUCCG
rnacentral:tRNA from 1 species